rnacentral:rRNA from 1 species
AACAAACGCUGGCGGCGUGCCUAAUACAUGCAAGUCGAACGGGGAAAGCUUUCGGGUGAGUACUAGUGGCGCACGGGUGAGGAACGCGUGGAUAAUCUGCCUUAGAGUGGGGGAUAACUAGUCGAAAGAUUAGCUAAUACCGCAUAAGACCACGAGAGCUGCGGCUUUUGAGGUCAAAGGUUUUUCGCUCUAAGAUGAGUCCGCGUAAGAUUAGCUAGUUGGUGAGGUAACGGCUCACCAAGGCGACGAUCUUUAACUGGUCUGAGAGGAUGAUCAGUCACACUGGAACUGAGACACGGUCCAGACUCCUACGGGAGGCAGCAGUAGGGAAUAUUGCACAAUGGAGGGAACUCUGAUGCAGCGACGCCGCGUGAGUGAUGAAGGCCUUCGGGUCGUAAAGCUCUGUCGCAGGGGAAUAACACAAUGAAGGUACCCUGUAAGAAAGGAUCGGCUAACUUCGUG